CCCAUCUAAGGAAGGCGCAGGCGCGUAAAUACCCAUCCUAAUACGGGGAGGUAGUGACAAGAAAUAACAAUACGGGGCCUUUGGUCUUGUAAUUGGAAUGAGUACAAUCUAAAUCCCUUAACGAGGAUCAAUUGGAGGGCAAGUCUGGUGCCAGCAGCCGCGGUAAUUCCAGCUCCAGUAGCGUAUAUUAAUGUUGUUGCAGUUAAAAAGCUCGUAGUUGGAUUUCUGACAGGAGUGACCGGUCCGAGCCUCACGGUUCGUGUACUUGUGUUGUCUCUAGUCAUCCUUAUGGAGAUGGUGUUGGGCAUUUAGUUGUCCGAUAUUAAAUCCAUAUCGUUUACUGUGAAAAAAUUAGAGUGUUUAAAGCAGGCAAUCGCUGUGAAUACAUUAGCAUGGAAUAAUAAGAUAGGACUUUGGUACUAUUUUGUUGGUUUGCAUACCAAGGUAAUGAUUAAGAGGGACAGUUGGGGGUAUUCGUAUUUUAAUUGUCAGAGGGGGAAAUUCUUGGGAUUU
rnacentral:rRNA from 1 species